UCCUCGUCUUCUCCACUCGUCUGCCCUCGCUCCUGGCACAGCCGCUCAGCUCUGCCUGAGCUCCCCUGUUUAGCUCCGGCGCGCAACUACCCUGCUCUCCCGCGCAUCCUCCGCCACCGCCGUAGCUGCCUCCUCCCCCGCUCCCUGCCGCCUCAUGAAGCUCCCCUCCCACCCACUCGCCUGUCUCCCGCAGCCCCCUUUCACCCUAAAAAUCCAUUUUUCUUCCUCUAUGGGCUUCUACGGUGUACUCCGGCUCCGGCGAGGCUCCCAUCCAGCACGCAGCUCGCUCGCGCGCCGGGAUGCUGACGCCAUGGAGGACGCCGCUCCACCCCUACUCUGCUCCGUGCCCCCGACGCCAUGGAGGACGCCGCUCCACCUCCGCUCCAGCCUGAAGGCACUCCACCCCUGCUCCAGCCUGGAGGUGCUCCAUCUCUGAAUGUUGAAUGCUCCUGCUGCAUCAAGCUGCUACUCCAUGGAGUAUUUCAGAAUUUAAAACCGAGUUUUUUAUUUCUAUUUUGUACUAUGGUCUCUCUGUUUUGUCAAUCUGCUGUAAUCAUUUAUGUUGUGGAGUUCGUAAGUUUUAAACAAAAUGAUUACUAGUGCAUCCAGGAAUCGUUUAAGUUAUGAACCAUUGCAAAUUCUGAAUUUUGUUGUAGGUACUGCUGCUAUAUGAAGUAGUGCUGCUGACUAUAAUUAACUGAAUUUUACAAUAAUCAUCAGUGUAACAAAGAUUAAUUUCUACAGUACAAGAUUCAGUGUAAAUCUUCAAAAUGAAUUGAUGUUAGUAUGUUCAGUGGUUAGAACAGAAGAUCAGAUUUCUUAGGUUCUACAGUACACAAGUUGAUAACAAAGAUGAGAUUUCUUAGGUUGCACUACUCCCAUUUUUGCUCUGCUCCCAUUUUGAUUGCUCUGCUCCCAUUUUUGCUCACAAUUAUUCAGAAAAGGACUACUCCUAGUAACAAAAUAGAUCAUUUACUGAAAAUAGCUCUACAUUUCUUCUUCUAAUGGUUGUUCCUGCAGCAAUAGCUCUACAUUUACUGAAAAUCAACUUGAUGUACUGAAAAUAAAGUUGGGCAUUGUUUACUAAAAAUAAACUUGAUGCCCCUCCACUUGUCAAGGUGAAGACUACAGAAACUCAUGGAGAAAAGAAGACAAGGUUGAUGCCCCUCCACUUAGCACUUAGUUUGCAUAAUGACACAAAUAUUUACAAAUUUGCAUCUACUAACUGUCACUGUAUUUGGAUAGGUUCAUAACUGAAUUUUCUGUACAGUAGUGCAUCUAGGGAUCAUUUAAGCUCUCCUGCUAUAUGAACUGGUGAGCGAGCCAUCCAUAGAAGUUGUUCCCUGUGUUCCAAAUAGGUGAUCGAGCCAUCCAUCGAAUCAUUUAUGAUCAUACAGAAGUUGUUCCCUGUGUUCCAAUAGUGGACUUCACAUUCCAAAGGAGGGACAGAAGAGCAGUCUACCUGACAAGGACAUGGCAUAGGUUGCAGACAAAUACUGCGAAUGUGGAUGUUGCACACUAUUGUGAAGCAGACGCGGGGCAGAGAAGUCAGACGGCAAGGAUGAGCAGCAGCAUCAGACAGCGAGGAGGAGCAGAAGCAUCAGACGACGAGGACUCGAUCGGGGGCGUUGGCGUCGCCCAAUAGCAGCAGCAUCAGAGGCUGGAGGGAAUCGCGGCGGCCGCAGAAUGAAGCGGCGGCCGACGACUUGUCCAAAUCCGGCACCGGAGGCCGCGGGCGCGAGGAAGCGGGCAGAGGAUGAGGGCGCGGGCCGCACCGGCUAGGGACGCGAGCAGGGAGGUGACGUCGGCCGUGGAGGAGGCGGGCGUCUAGUUGGUCCCGCGGAGGAGCAGUCGCCUCCGUGUGGGCGGCAGCACAGCUCGCCUUUGUGCGGGCGGUGCAGGUGGGCAGGGGCGCCAUGGAUUGGCAGCAGCGGCGAUGCAGGUGGACGGCAACGCGCUGGGCCCUACGGUGGCUGCCGACGGCGCACUGGGCUUGUUCCUGCCGCGGGCGUCUGGAGGAGGAAGAAGCAAAGGGGUAAUUAGCAGGAGAUUUAAAAUCCUAAGGAUUUUUUUUUUUGCAAAAAUCACAGCGAACUACGCCGUGGACAACUUUUCCCGGACGGAGGGAGUAUAAUAGUGGCACUAGUUGAAGUCAGCCUGCAGCUCCACUCGACGAUUCAAUUCAUGCGACCUUUUCUGUAGUUUACUUGAAAUGAAGCAAAGAUUGCAUCAUUCAGCUAGCAAGAAGUACUUGCUCUUGUGAGAUGGCAGGUUCUUUUUUAGUAGUUGCAUAAAAAUUAAGCAACAUUAAGGUUGUCUGUCCUACUCAUGUAAGGUGCAACUAUAAUUUGCUUAUCCUCUUGUACAGUUCCACUAAAAUAAAGUGUCAUUGUGGUGACAGUGACGGCUCAUCUUGCAAAGGCUAAUAAAAUGUUGCACGAGAUUA